GUGGGGAAGGGCUUAAAGGCUGAGUCAAAAGCCAAGAAGUCUCUUUAUUUACGCCUACCUCCCAGCCCCUGGCAAUCUGACUAAUAACAAACUGAGCUAACAAGAAAGACUAGAAAGAACAGAGAGAACACAGGAGCAGCUUGCAUCUAAAAAUCUGACAAACCAAGUGAUCAAGUCAAGCUCUGCUGAGCAUCUUGUUUGUUUACUGCAUCCAAAUGCUUGCAAACAGUUAACUAUAUGCAGAAAAGUCAGCCUAGCUGUGAAGUAUGCUGUGAAUUUUAAUUGAGGAAAAAGGACAACUGCUUACAGGAUGGUCUGACGUGCAUGGCUGCCUGAAAGAUUUUUUCAAUCGAAUGCUUUGUACUUUGUCUUCUGAACAAGGAUUUUAACUUCAUGGAGCUGUAGUAUUACCGGAGCUUGCAGCAAAGGAAACUCAGAAGGAAGUGUGUGUUUUUCAGAGGGAAAAAUUAUAUUACAUGGAAACAGCUGCUCCAACUGUGCAUUCCUGAGUGUACCAGGGAGUGUUGCUGCUGUACAGAAUCUGCUGGACAAGAUGAAGCUUUGGAUUUUUGUUCUGUGCUCAAUUGUGGUUGCAUCUGAUCCUUUCCAGUCACAGCCUUCUUUUUCUUCAGUCAGAGGAUCUUGUCAGAGUUUGUGUUCCUGUGAAGAAAAGGAUGACACCUUGAUUAUCAACUGUGACAAAAGAGACAUCAAGAUGAUCUCAGAAAUAAAUGUCCCACCAUCACGGCCUUUCCAUCUUAAUCUGUUAAACAAUGGUCUGAGUAUGUUACACGUGAAUGAUUUUGCUGGCCUUGUUAAUGCUAUUUCUCUGCAUCUUGGUUUUAACAAUAUAGCAGAUAUUGAGCCUGGGGCUUUCAAUGGUCUCAGCCUUCUUAAGCAACUUCAUAUCAAUCACAAUUCUUUGGAAACACUUAAAGAAGAUACAUUUAAUGGAUUGGAAAAUUUGGAGUUUCUUCAAGCAGACAACAAUUUCAUCACAGUGAUUGAAGCAAGUGCCUUUAGCAAGCUCAACAGGCUUAAAGUGCUUAUUUUGAAUGAUAAUGCCAUCGAGUAUCUUCCUCCAAACAUAUUUCGUUUUGUGCCAUUGACCCAUUUAGAUCUGCGUGGAAACCAGUUACAGACACUGCCCUAUGUUGGUUUUUUGGAACACAUUGGAAGAAUAUUAGACCUUCAGUUGGAAGACAACAAAUGGGCCUGUAACUGUGAUUUGUUGCAGCUGAAGAUAUGGCUAGAAAACAUGCCUCCUCAGUCCAUAAUAGGUGAUGUUGUAUGCAAUAGUCCUUCAGUUAUCAAAGGCAGCAUAUUAAGCCGGCUGAAAAAAGAAUCACUUUGUCCCACCCAUCCUGUUAAUGAACUUGAAGAUCCUUCAGGGUCACUGCCCUUGGUUGUGACCACCUCUAUCAAUGAUAAUCAUCUGUCAACUAAGGUGAUUCCUCUCAUGAAAGCUCCUACUAAAGAACCAAGUUUAGCUCUUCAUACUUCCAAGCCUACUACGUUUCCAGGAAUCUCUUGCCCUGUCCCUUGUCACUGCACCAGCCAUAUGCUCUCAGGAGUUCUUAUGCACUGCCAGGAGCGAAAUAUUGAAAGCUUGUCUGAUUUAGGACCCCCUCCUCCAAAUCCUAAAAAGCUUAUCCUAGCUGGAAACAUUAUCCAGACGCUAUUGAAAUCAGAUCUUGUGGACUAUGCCAGCCUGGAAAUGCUUCACCUGGGGAACAAUCGCAUUGAAAUCCUUGAGGAAGGUUCUUUUAUUAAUCUGACCAGACUACAGAAACUAUAUCUCAAUGGCAAUCAUCUUACAAAGCUAAGUCAAAAUCUCUUCCUUGGCCUUCAGCACCUUGAGUACUUGUACCUUGAAUAUAAUGCCAUCAAAGAAGUUUUGCCAGGGACAUUUAAUGUAAUGCCAAAACUGAAAGUUCUCUACCUAAAUAACAACCUUCUGCAGGCUUUGCCACCCCAUAUUUUUUCAGGUGUUCCCCUUACCAGACUAAAUCUGAAAACAAACCAAUUUGCUCAUUUGCCUGUGAGCAAUGUCUUGGAUGAACUGGAUAUGCUAGUACAAAUUGAACUUGAAGACAACCCUUGGGACUGUACUUGUGAUUCAGUUGGACUGCAAAAAUGGAUACAAAAAUUGAGUAAGAAUACCAUGAUGGGUGAUAUUUUUUGUAAAUCUCCCGGGCACUUAGCAAAAAAAGAAUUGAAAUCCCUAAACAGUGAAGUCUUGUGUCCAGAUUUAAUAAACAGCCCCGCCCUACCAACCCAUGCCAGUUUUGUAGUUGUGACAACUUCUUCUCCUACUGCCAACACUGCAGACACCAUCCUGCGGUCCCUUACAGAUGCUGUCCCACUUUCUGUUCUAAUAUUAGGACUGCUCAUUGUGUUUAUAACUAUUGUAUUUUGUGCAGCAGGAAUAGUUGUUCUUGUUCUGCACCGGCGCCGGAGGUGCAAAAAGAAACAAGUGGAUGAACAAGUGAGGGAUAGCAGCCCUGUUCACCUUCAGUACAGCAUGUAUGGGCAUAAGACAACACACCACACCACGGAGCGCCCAGCUGCGACUCUCUAUGAGCAACGAAUAGUUACCCCCAUGGUUCAGGUAUACCACAGCCCAUCCUUCAGUCCCAAGCACACCGAGCAGCAGCAGGAGGAGGGAAGUGAAAAGGAAGCUAAUGAUUCCAAAUACCUUCGCCGAAGUCUCCUGGAAAGAGAGAACAGUUCCCCACUUACAGGUCCAAAUGUCAAAUACAAGACUACAGACCAAUCGGCUGAAUUUCUGUCUUUUCAGGAUGCUAGUUGCUUGUAUAGAAACAUUCUUGAAAAAGAGAGAGAGCUGCAGCAACUAGGGAUCACAGAAUACCUAAGAAAAAAUAUUGUGCAGCUCCAGCCUGACAUGGAAGUUCGUUAUCCUGGAACACAUGAAGAGUUGAAGUUAAUGGAGACACUCAUGUACUCCAGGCCAAGAAAGGUUUUUCUAGAACAAACUAAAAAUGAGUAUUUUGAGCUCAAGGCUAAUUUACAUGCUGAACCUGACUAUCUGGAAGUCCUGGAGCAGCAAACGUGAAGUGAUAAUACAUUGGGCCAGGGCUGAAUUUCUGUGAUUUUGCUUUAAGGUGGAAUAAUUGUACAUAAAAGUGCCUUAUAAAAAUAUGUCAACAGUCAGAACUUAAGCACAGCAGUAAUCCUAGCAAAGAAAAACUCAGGGAUCACUGUGGGAAGCCAUGGGGUUGUGAGCCGGCAAUAUGUCACACCCCAAGUAAAGCAAGAAUUUAGUGUGAUUGAACUGUGGGAGGAAGAUUGCUUAUUGCACUAUUCCUCAUAAUUUUGAAAAGGUCACUUUUUAAAGAAGGCAGCAACUUCUGCAUGCACAAGUUUAAAACUACUUGGGAAUUAAACACAAUGAUUCUCACUCUUGCCAUGUGGACAGAAGCAACUUAUCCUGAGUUCGCUAAGGUCAUUCAAUUUCUGUGCAUGACUGAUGUGGUGCCAAAACACAAUUUCUGACCUGCAUUUAUCUUCCUCCAAGCAAAUAUUUUGUAAACUGACUAUGCAUGAGGUUUUUGGGUUUUUUUUCUAAUUCCUAUUUGUACAGUGAAAAAUCAGUUUAAUUACUACAUGUAUAGAUAUGUAUGACAAAUUUAGCAUUGAAAUCUUGUUAAACACAAAGUAAAAAGAUAUAUUCUUUAGUUCAAAGUACUGUCCAUGUCUUAACUAUUUGUAUAUACAAAUUAGAGUUCUUCAUAUUCUUCUACAUAAGUUUUUGACAGAAAAAUUUCCUAUAUUACAUAUGAAAGUCAGAUUCUCAGUUCUUUCAAAGUUGCAUAGACAUAACAACUUUUAUGGUGCUAUACUAAUUUCUGCAGUUUGAGGAUCUGACCAUCUUUUGUCUCUGUUAACAAAUCUACUUCCUUAUUAAUAUUUUUGAGGUGUAACCAGUUUGUUAUGGAAGUAAAACUUGGUUUUCAUAAAUCAAAAUUUCAGUUAUUACAGAAGAAGUAUUAUUCCUUCUUUCUAUAGCUGAGAAUAAUUUAAUCAGAAAACCUGUCUAUUUUGGAAGAUUAUAAAGAGUAAAUGUAGCGACAACAUAUUUAUUUCAUUGCUGUCUUUAUUCCAAACUAUGAAAGACAAUAUUGACUAUUGCUUGUGCAGGUAAGAGUGAGAAAAAAGGGAAAAUGUACUUGCAUUAAAUUAGUUUUAUGAUGUUAUUUUAGAUGUACUUGCAUAUUCAAGCACAUGUAAAUGUGCUUUAUGAACAUGCCAUAGAACCUAUGGAAACUCAUGCCUGGAUCUGGAGGAGCAACUGGGGGACAGAUGGGAUGGCUUAGAGUAUCAAAAUGACACUAGAUAUUUCCAUUUAAAGAAUUUAGUUCCACACAGGAAAAAAAUUCAAAUAAAGUUAUUAUAUAGAAUAUUUAAAUGCAGUUAAAAACUGAAUUUAUUUAAUAGAAAAAGAAAGCUUUGAGUGCUGAAUCAGACCCAUUAAAUUGUUUUUUUCAGAUUCUCAGAGAUCUCAAAUUAGUGUAAGGGAAAAAAAUCAGGAUACGAAUAUACAUGGUACUUGAAAACAGAGUUUAUUAUUUCAGUGUCAAUGAUUUCAGUAGUUAUUUCCAAAAAGAAAAAGUGUGUAAAAAUAACACCCUGCAAUUGGCAAGACAAGGGGAAAUGGUGAUUCAAGCCCUCCGGCUCAAAUUUAAGAGAAAUAUCUUCGGACUAAAGACAAUUGCCACAUGCACAGAUGUCACUUUGCUUAGUUGCUAACAGUUACUUGGCAGAAUGUUGAGGACAACAGUGUGGCAAACAUUCUUUUUCCUUGCAGCCUCAGAGCAUCAGAAGGAAGAGUGAGCUAAAUUAGUGUCAAAGGAAGUCAGUUACACAGCUGUAUCGGAGCCUCGCUCAGCAGGAUUAAAGAGACCUUUACCAUUUAGCUUUCCUUCAGAAGGGAGAGUCAUGCCUUUCACUUUAUAAGGACAACUCUGCUCUGUGGUAGUCUCUAUAACACCACAAGUGGUUUGGCAGUAUCCAGAAAUCUCCAGGAUGUGUCUUGCUGUCCACUUUCCCAUCAUCACAUUGCCUACUGGGCUGCCAUGUAAUGAGCUUUUAUAAUGAGAAGAGAGGGGUCUGCCUUACAUUCAGAUAGUGAUUUUUCAACUAUGAGGAAAAUUUACAUUGCCAAAACAAAAAAGAACAAAGGUUUGACCUUAUAGGAUCAUUCUUCAGCUAAAGAAAAUAAUUGUCUGCAUAUAAAAAUAAAAUCAUGACAAAAGAAAGGCAUCACAUAAAAAAGAAGGGUGUGAGAUUCAUUUCUAGAAGUUCCUUGGAAUAUUCUAACAACUGGAAAUGUGUCGUUAAUGUUAUUGAUGUUUGCAGAAAGCUGGGAAUGAUAUUCAUAAAUUUUCUUGUUAAAACCCUAUUGUCAUUUUUUUUUUCAGUGACAGGUACAGUUAAGUGGUUUGAUAUAUUUUUACUUAGCUAGAAUAAUGGAGGUUGGAAGGCAAAGCAUGUUUGACAGUGUGCAACAAAGUGGAUCCAUUUUUUUCCUGUCAGCAUGAGAGUUUAAUUGAGUGCGAGAGCAGUGCUUCGUCAAACACACUGGUGUAAGUGGCAGCUAUGAUGUUGUUGCUAGGGUACCUCAAGGUAACCAACACUGCCAUUUUUCACCUCACAUUUGAUUGAAGAAAAUAAGUAACACCACAGACCUGUUCCCUAAAUAAACAUAUUAAAAC